CUUUGUUUAGGCAGAGUUUGAAAAAAUUGUAAUAUAUUUCAACAAAGAACUUUCUCCUUUAUCCAGGGAUCUCACGUUUUUAUUGGGAUUCUAUGUCUCCCUUGUAAUUAAAAGGUGGUGGGAACAGUACAGAAACCUUCCUUGGCCGGAUAAAAUUGCGCUUCUUAAUACUGCACUGACUGUUUAUGAGACUGAGGAUGCUAAGAGAUUGAGUGAAGAACUUCUACGUUAUAUAAUGCUAGCCUAUGUAUUGUGUCUCA